UACGUAGGGGGCAAGCGUUGUCCGGAAUCAUUGGGCGUAAAGAGCGUGUAGGCGGCCCGAUAAGUCCGCUGUGAAAGUCCAGGGCUCAACCCUGGAAUGCCGGUGGAUACUGUCGGGCUCGAGUUCGGAAGAGGUGAGUGGAAUUCCUGGUGUAGCGGUGAAAUGCGCAGAUAUCAGGAGGAACACCGAUGGCGAAGGCAGCUCGCUGGAACGGUACUGACGCGUGAGGCGCGAAAGCGUGGGGAGCGAACAGG
rnacentral:rRNA from 1 species